UGGACUGAUAAUGGAGGGGGACUAACACUGCCAGGCCAACAGGAACGGUUGGCCUCUAGCCUGCAGAGUGGGCUUGAUGCAGACCUAUAGUGGCUUUAGGGGGAGAGCGAUGCCCUGAAUCUUGUUUUGCUUUCCCUCUUCAGGGUGACGUUGGACAAACCAAAAGGAAAGAAGUUGUUGAUCCAUAAGAUAGGCUGUGGAGCCGCACUGCAGGACCCAGAGGUUAUGGAAGGUGUGAACUGGGAGAAAAUCUCCGAAAUGAAAUGUUACGAGGGAACAACUGUUGGUGAACUCAUGGAGGCUGGGGGCAGAAGCUACAAUCUCUUCAACGACAACUGUCACCAAUUUAAAGAUUUUGUUGUGGGCAACGUAAAGCGAACCAUGGAGAAGAAGUAAAACCUACUCAUCAAACGUUUUCAUGUAUAGAUGAAUAUACUUAUGAUUUUACACCACCAGAGUCCAUCGAGUAUCAGAUAAGAAAAAUAAAAAAAUGCAUUCAUUAA